UGGGCGGCAAAGAGAAACUGAAACUUGAAGCGGGCGGCUUGGUGGGAAGACGGGAGGCCCCGGGGUGCAGAGGGCCGGCUGAGCACCUCCCAACCCCGCCCCGAGGGUCCCCAGGCACAGGAGGACAUUCAGCAGAGGGGCGCCGGAGGCCGGGAGGAGUCAGCGCAGGGGCUGCAGGAAAGCACGCUGACAGCUCGGCGUGCACCCGGAGCACCUGUCCUCUCCCCCCCAGGACGGCCUCCUGGACCCGGGUGACAGUCAGCCCAAAGCUGCCAUGUGCUUCUCUGUCUCCCAGGACACGGGAAGGUGGAGACAGACGUAGCGGACAGUCCCGCCCUGAACGCAAGGAGAUCACAUUGUCCACUCGGUGUCUCAGACGCAGAAGUAAAUCAGAACAUCCCAAAAGCAGAGACUACCCGCUCAUCACUAACCCGGCUUCAGGAACGUGCAGACUUUACCUGUCUCCCCACUGAACCUCGGUUCUACCUGGAAGGACUCUUCUGCGCCCUCGUGGGCUGACAGCCCAGAGACGCCUCCUCCUCUGCCUGGAAAAUGCACCCAAGACGGACAAUACAUCAGGUUCCACGGAGCAGACAGACUCCCCUCCUUCUGCCCUCAGUCCGUGGAGCCCAGGUGACUUCGGUGUUACACCUGCUUCCAAGCCCAGCAGCCAAGAAGUCCCAGGUCAUCUCCAGCACCUUGAAGAUCUGCCUUGGAGUGUCCUGGGGCGGCUGUGACGAAGUGCCCCAAACUGGGGGCUUAGAACCACAGGCAUCCAUCCUUCCCCAGAGCUGGAGACCAGACUUCUGAGGUCAAGAAGUAUAGUGAAUUCCAAUGUGUCCUGUGUCUUUAACCAGGACACCCCAGGGACCUCCUUGGGCUGGCUCACUGAGUGAUCCCAAAGCAGCCCAGAAGCCGGGUCACUGCAUCCGCGAAGAGAGAGUGCCCAUUAGCAUCAUGCAGCCAGGUCCUGUUUCAGUGUGGUGGCCACAUUCUCCAAAUUCGUUGUCAGCAGACAGACCACGGAAGAACGUCUUCCUGGAAUUUCUGCUUCAAGAUGGUCCACAGCUGAGUGAAGUAAGACAGACAGAGACACAUAUAGGGUAUCACUUGUACGUGGAAUCUAAAACAAAUUUUUUUUCAAAUGAUGCAAGUUCUAUUUACAAACCAAAAAUGAACUCAGAGACAUAAUGAACUAACUAUGGUUAUUAAAGGGGAAAGGAGGCGGGACGGAUAAGUCAGGAGUCUGGGAUGGGCAGAUACACAUGACUGUAUAUAAAAUAGAUAAACAGGAAGGUCCUACUGUAAGCACAGGGAACUAUAUCUUGUAACAACCUAAAUGGAAAAAAUAUGAAAAGACAAUAUUUAUAUAUGUCUAUGCGAAAAAAAAAAAUAUGUUCCUUCUUCUGCCUGAGGGUCCAGGUAUGUCAAAUUCCAGAGAUUCCGCACCCAUGGGACCACACGGGUGUGGCCUCACCCGUGCGUCGGACAGUCAGGUGUUUUGCUAUUAAAGACUCCCUCCCUCAGGCUGCAGCCUGGAAGUGGAGGUCGCGGAAUCCGUCUGCACCCCUUGUGGUUUUCAGUCUGCCCCCCUCACCUCAUUCCAAGAUCGCACCUUGACAGGGAUGCUGGGCCCGGCAGAGCCGGACACAGGCUUGUCGUCGAAGCCAUGCUCACGUCCCAGAUGCACCAUGAGGCCAAACAAACGGAAACGCUGGAGUUUGCAGCCGAGAAAGGUUUAUGGCAGGACCCCGCCAGGGGAAGGGGUGGCCCCAAACUCCCCAUGGUUUGAGGGGAGACAUUUCUAAUAGGCAAAAUGUGGGGUGGGGGCUGCAGGGGUGUGACUUGUCUUCUGAUGGGCCGGUGGGGAGGCACCAGGACGGGGCUCCAGGAAUCCUGGGCUCAGCCUGAAGGCGCCAUCCUCCACCUGGGCGGGGGCCUCAGUUCCUUCAGGAGAACUCGGACGCAUUGUUCUGGAUGUGCCUCCCCAAGGCUGCACUCUUGUUUCUUGAAGGUUGUUCCCUCGUUCUCUGCAUCCCCGCCCUUCCCUGAUUAGCUACUGUUUUGACUCUGUCCUUUGGAGCUCAGGGAAGGCCCAGGAGGCUGAAGGAAGUCUGUCCCACUAACAAGAAACGGGAAGUGGGGGGAAGGGACAGUCCUGCUUGGUUUUACCCUGAAGGGCAGAGUCAGGGGAGUUGACUCAGGUGACAGGUCUGAACGCCUGGGAGGAGGUGGGGUGGAGGGACGGGCCAGGACCCAGGGCAGCCUGAGAUCACGGGGUCCCCAGGGAGGAAGAGGGUCUUGUAGACACCCACACACAACGGCUUCUUCAAGAACCACAGCGGGGCUGAGACAGGAGGGAAGGGGCGGGGCAGAGCCUUGAAAGGAGUGACACAGGAAUCAGCACCAAGCUGGCACAGAAGUCAACUCCCAGCGGACCCGGAGGCGCAGGGUGGCGGGCGCUUCGCCCUCGUGUAGACCUUGAGCGAGGCUACGCUCCUUGUAACGCAUCAGCAGGGCCAGUGGCGCUCCCACGGGCGCCGUGCCUGUCCCAGGCUGACCCUGAGAGGUCGGAGAGUGGGCGGUGGUCCAGUCCCUGGGGAUCCCCGCCCCUUCCCCAAAGCAGCUGGAACAAUCCGCCUACUUGUCAGCAUGUGAGAUAACAGGGCCCAUAAAAACCAACAGCCCACAGCUCGUGGCCUUUCUCUUGCCUUGUGAGACGGCCGCACUCUGUCUGCGGAGCGUGUUUCUGCUUUUCCUUUAAAGUGAGCGCCCAGCCCAGCACCUCGCGGCCUCUCCGGCCACCUGAGACGGCCGCACUCAGUCUAGGGCGCGUGCAUCUCUCUGAAUAAAUCCGCUUUUACUCAAGUGUGGCUCGCUCUUGAAUUCUUUCCUGCACGGAGCGAAGGACCCACACUUGGCGGGGCGCAUCCCAGGGACCUACCUGGCACCUGGGACACGGCCAUCCUCUCCUGCCCCAGAUGUUUCCUGCAUCAGUGGGGCCUUCAACUAGGAGUCUCGCUCUGCUGUGUAAAUUUUCUGAGGAUGAAAGUCUGUCCCACUUCUGACUUCCAAGAAAGCCAGCUCCUGGAGACGUUGCAGGGGGAAGGGACCCUCCUACACUGUGCAUGCGAAGGCAGACUGCUGCAGCCGCUACGGAGAACAGCCUGGUGAUUCCUCAAAAAACUAAAAAUAGGACCAGGAGGAGACGGCGUGGAGUCCCGGCGGGUCAGGCAAAAAAGCUAAAGAGAACCGAAAAAGUUCCCAAGCCUCCUGCCAAGCCGAGCAAAGUAGCGGAGGACACGGAGGAGGAAGAAAGAGAGACCACGUCCCAGGCCCGAUCUGCAAGGGCCAGUGGGAAAAUAAGGAACAAAUUCUCAUCUUUUCUUCCAGAGAAGUGAAUUUCAGAACAAGACAUUUAAAGCAAGAUUUGAGAAUGUUGAUAUCUCCUUCUUUUUUUUUUUCCCCUUUUUCAGUUUUAUUGGGUAGAAUUGUUACUGUUCAACUGCACACACACAUUACACUGCAUGUAAAUACAUGUGCACGAUGUACUGCACAUGUUUUUUUACUUUACAUAUGUGUGCUGUGCAUUGUCUCUGAGAACAAUUUAGAGCUUCAGCUUUUUAAACUUACAUAGUUGUCAAAGGAAUCAAGCCAGCCCCAAAAUAAGAAUCAAAAGAAUGCAGUCAUCCAGUCAUAAAUCGGCUGACAUAUAUUCAAGAAAUCAGUCAUCAGAGUUAUAAAUAAUGACUAAUUCAGUUGUGUCCUUAUUUAUUUUAUUUAUUUACUUAUUUUAGAUUCCACAUAUAAGAGAUCUCAUAUGAUCUUUUUCUUUCUCUUUCUGACUUAUUUCACUUACAAUGAUCAUCUCCAGGUCCAUCCAUGUUGCUGCAA